UGGGUCAGGUGCCAGGGU
rnacentral:misc_RNA from 1 species